rnacentral:rRNA from 1 species
UACGGGGGGAGCAAGCGUUGUUCGGAUUUACUGGGCGUAAAGGGCGCGUAGGCGGCCAGCACAAGUCAGUUGUGAAAUCUCCGAGCUUAACUCGGAAAGGUCAACUGAUACUGUGCGGCUAGAGUGCAGAAGGGGCAACUGGAAUUCUUGGUGUAGCGGUGAAAUGCGUAGAUAUCAAGAGGAACACCUGCGGCGAAGGCGGGUUGCUGGGCUGACACUGACGCUGAUGCGCGAAAGCUAGGGGAGCGAACGGG